rnacentral:rRNA from 1 species
UUUGCGUCGAAGGUAUACCGGUAAGGAGUGCUGGAGCGAAUAGAAGUGAGCAUGCAGGCAUGAGUAGCGAUAAUUAAUGUGAGAAUCAUUAACGCCGUAAACCCAAGGUUUCCUACGCGAUGCUCGUCAUCGUAGGGUUAGUCGGGUCCUAAGUCGAGUCCGAAAGGGGUAGACGAUGGCAAAUUGGUUAAUAUUCCAAUACCAACAUUAGUGUGCGAUGGAAGGACGCUUAGGGCUAAGGGGGCUAGCGGAUGGAAGUGCUAGUCUAAGGUCGUAGGAGGUUGUACAGGCAAAUCCGUAUAACAAUACUCCGAGAACUGAAAGGCUUUUUGAAGUCUUCGGAUGGAUAGAAGAACCCCUGAUGCCGUCGAGCCAAGAAAAGUUUCUAAGUUUAGCUAAUGUUGCCCGUACCGUAAACCGACACAGGUGGGUGGGAUGAGUAUUCUAAGGCGCGUGGAAGAACUCUCUUUAAGGAACUCUGCAAAAUAGCACCGUAUCU